GACGAACGCUGGCGGCGUGCUUAACACAUGCAAGUCGAACGGAAAGGCCCUGCUUUUGUGGGGUGCUCGAGUGGCGAACGGGUGAGUAACACGUGAGUAACCUGCCCUUGACUUUGGGAUAACUUCAGGAAACUGGGGCUAAUACCGGAUAGGAGCUCCUGCUGCAUGGUGGGGGUUGGAAAGUUUCGGCGGUUGGGGAUGGACUCGCGGCUUAUCAGCUUGUUGGUGGGGUAGUGGCUUACCAAGGCUUUGACGGGUAGCCGGCCUGAGAGGGUGACCGGCCACAUUGGGACUGAGAUACGGCCCAGACGCCUACGGGAGGCAGCAGUGGGGAAUAUUGCACAAUGGGCGGAAGCCUGAUGCAGCAACGCCGCGUGCGUGAUGACGGCCUUCGGGGUGUAAACCGCUUUCGCCUGUGACGAAGCGUGAGUGACGGUAAUGGGUAAAGAAGCACCGGCUAACUACGUG
rnacentral:rRNA from 1 species